AACGAACGCUGGCGGCAGGCCUAACACAUGCAAGUCGAGCGCGUCCUUCGGGGUGAGCGGCGGACGGGUGAGUAACGCGUGGGAACGUGCCCUUUUCUACGGAAUAGCCUCGGGAAACUGAGAGUAAUACCGUAUACGCCCUUUGGGGGAAAGAUUUAUCGGAAAAGGAUCGGCCCGCGUUGGAUUAGGUAGUUGGUGGGGUAAUGGCCACCAAGCCGACGAUCCAUAGCUGGUUUGAGAGGAUGAUCAGCCACACUGGGACUGAGACACGGCCCAGACUCCUACGGGAGGCAGCAGUGGGGAAUCUUAGACAAUGGGGGCAACCCUGAUCUAGCCAUGCCGCGUGAGUGAUGAAGGCCUUAGGGUUGUAAAGCUCUUUCAGCUGGGAAGAUAAUGACGGUACCAGCAGAAGAAGCCCCGGCUAACUCCGUG
rnacentral:rRNA from 1 species